CAAAAUAGUUUUCUCGAGGACCCAUCUUCUUGAUUUCCUCCAAAUCACUCACUCACUGUUCAUCAAUUGAUUCUGUUUUCCUUGAACCCCCUCGAGAAAUGGUUGGUCUGCUCAAUUUUUACUAGUUCUUGCCAUGGGGGAUGAGUUAACUUAGCGUAUUCAAACAAAGCCAUCAUGGGUUUCAUUUGAUUCUUCUUCUCUCUCUCUUUAACUAUACCCCUUUUUUCAUAUUUGUUGUUGGAUCUCUUGAAACAUGUGAUUUAGUGGUUGAGUAAGCCCUGAGGGCAAUACAACACCUGUUCCUAACCUUGUUUCUCGAUUUCCUUCUAUCAGCUGGCUUUGUCUUUUCAGUCAAAACCAAUUUGAUUUAUAUGAAAUCUAAUUGAGAUCUACACUUACUGUAGGGAAUUUUAUCAGUUUUUAUUGUAGUAAAGUUGAAAUGUUUAUAUAUGUUGACCAGUCGAUCCUCAAAUAGGUUCAAUAGUGAAGAAUUUGGAGUCUCUUAUUGUAGUUCCAUCUGGGAACCCAGUUCUGCUAUAGGAAAUAGAAAGAUAGGGGCUAACCAGUGAAAUCAAGUUUCAAAUAGCCAUAAAGUAAUGUGAGUUCCAUGGGGAAGGAUGUGGUGGAUAGAAAAUCGUUUGUUUUGCAUAAGUCUGCUGGAAAUGAAAGACAGGUUAAGUUAAUUUUUGGAAGACUGUUCUCUCUCCCAUCUCUCUCCUCUCUCCUCCCCUCCCCUGUCCCUUCACCUUUCUCCCCGGCAAUUUCUCUGACCGAUAGAGCAGUCCAUCUUUCACCUCUCCUCUUGUGAUUUUCAACUUGCAGGGACCAAUGGAAGUGGUAAGCAGCAAAGUGGUUAAUUCCUACUACUGCAUCUGGUUUGAAGACAAAAGUGGUAUACAACAUCGAGGAUGUAGAUUUCAACAAAAUCCUCAAGUCAUGAAGCAUCAGUUAUGAUGGUUCAUUGAAUCCAUCAACAAACCGAUUCAGGGUUAAAAUAACAGAUUUUUUCUUAGAAUUGGCAAAGAUGAGAGUGGAGCCACGAGAUUGACGAAAUUUUGUGCAUCUUCAGGAUGCGUUUUAAGGUGUGUCAUGAGGCCAACCUCUCGUUACCAAUCUUACAUUCAUGUUUUCUCCCGGGAAGACAAGCAGGGUGUUAGGCCUCCAAUCAUUCACAAAUAUAAAAGGAGCAGAAAGGUCAUUUAACUGAUGGGAUAAUGAUUGGGGAAAAGAUCUUGACAGGUGGGGCCCACGGGUAGAGGAGAGAUAUAAAUAGAAUAUUAUGGGGAUUGCUGCAGGUAGGGUUUAUUUUGUGUAAAAAGCUGCUGAAGCUUAGGGGAGAGUUUCCAAUCCUCUAUAAGGUGCUGGAUGGAAGAGAGAUUAGAGGGGACAAAAAAGGAAAAUCUGGGCCUGAAAGAGAUAAUGCUCGAACUUAAGAAGGUUGUCGACAAAAUGGCAGAAGACAUGCGAGAAAGCAACACCCAUAAGCGCAAGGACGAAUCGUGCACAUCUGAUGGGUUAGUAU